rnacentral:rRNA from 1 species
GCGAAAGCCUGACGGAGCAAUACCGCGUGGGGGAGGAAGGCUCUUGGGUUGUAAACUCCUUUUCUCAGGGAAGAAGGUCUGACGGUACCUGAGGAAUCAGCAUCGGCUAACUCCGUGCCAGCAGCCGCGGUAAUACGGAGGAUGCAAGCGUUAUCCGGAAUCAUUGGGCGUAAAGCGUCCGUAGGUGGCAUUUCAAGUCUGCUGUCAAAGGUCGGGGCUUAACUCCGAACAGGCAGUGGAAACUGAGAAGCUAGAGUAUGGUAGGGGCAGAGGGAAUUCCUGGUGUAGCGGUGAAAUGCGUAGAGAUCAGGAAGAACACCGGUGGCGAAAGCGCUCUGCUAGGCCAUAACUGACACUCAGGGACGAAAGCUAGGGGAGCGAAUGGGA